rnacentral:rRNA from 1 species
AGUGAACGCUGGCGGCGUGCUUAACACAUGCAAGUCGAACGAGAACGGAUUAUAGCUUGCUAUAAUUGUCAGCUAAGUGGCGCACGGGUGAGUAAUGUAUAGGUAAUAUGCCUCUUACUAAGGGAUAACAAAUGGAAACGUUUGCUAAUACCUUAUACUCCUUAUUAACAGAAGUUAAUAAGGGAAAGAUUCAUUGGUAAGAGAUUAGCCUGUAUUGUAUCAGUUAGUUGGUGGGGUAAUGGCUUACCAAGACUAUGACACAUAACUGGUUUGAGAGGAUGAGCAGGCACACUGGAACUGAUACACGGUCAAGACUCCUACGGGAGGCAGCAGUGGGGAAUAUUGCACAAUGGACGAAAGUCUGAUGCAGCAACGCCGCGUGGAGGAUGACACAUUUCGGUGCGUAAACUCCUUUUAUAUGAGAAGAUAAUGACGGUAUUAUAUGAAUAAGCACCGGCUAACUCCGUGCCAGCCGCCGCCGCGG